CAUAAAACCUGAAUCAAAGUUAGACCAAGGAUAUUUAAAAAUCAAACCAAGGUUCUUAUUCUAUCGAUAGGAAAGAAGCAAAGUUUGGAACCCCCAAAGAGAAUGUGUUAAACUAUACAUGGAACUAUAUAGUUUUCAGCAAGAGAGAAAGGAAGGAAAAAGAAGCAGACUUUGCUGUGAAUAGUGAAUGGAUCUGGGCUUUUAUGAUUGGAAAGCCGAUUCUGAAUCUCCAGAAAAGUAUCUUCAUACCAUAAUCUUCAAAUUGAAGAAACAUCAAAAGGAAUUAUGGGAAGAUCAGUAAAACUGAAACCAGCAGCAGGAAGCUAAUACUAAAAAGCAGGAGUGCCAUUUCAGGUCUCAGUAGAAGAGGUGCAACAUUCAUAGCAACAGACAUUCAAAGGCCUUAUCAUGAAUAUCUUCAUGAUCUUCAGCCGAAUCCCAUGCAUAGUUACUCAGAAGUAAGCCCCACUGUAUUUGCUGCAGCUUAUUGCCAGAUCAAGUGCUAGUCGCAGCAUACUACAGCAAACAUGGCUACAAGGCAGCAGCUGGCUUUGUUCAGUGUCUCAGACAAGAACGGCUUGGUGGAAUUUGCAAAAUGCCUCAGUACUUUGGGUAUGGGUUUGGUUGCCUCUGGAGGAACGGCAAAAGCUCUUUGGGAUGCAGGCCUGAAUGUCACAGAUGUUUCUGAUCUUACUAGCUUUCUGGAAAUGUUGGGAGGGCGAGUAAAGACCACCCUGCAGUACAUGCAGCUCUGCCUUGGGAUCAAACAAGAGGGCAGCCCCACGCCCUGCAUGCUGGCCACCGGCUUCCUGCAGACCCCUGGUGCGGAGAUGCCGCCGCUCAGCCCCAAUGGCCUCCUGGCAGCCUCCGAGGACCAGGGAGUGCCCCUGCAGCCACCGCAGCUGCCGCCUCACCACCCGGCCUUCGCCCACCCGCUCCAGUACUAGUCCUAUCCGCACCUGAGCGCCUCCGGCUUCUUCCAGGAAAGCCUCCCCUCCCAGGCCUUUGCCCUGGGGGGCCUGCUCACCCCACCCUCCUCCUUGCUGGAGUUGUUGGAAGCCAAGCCAAAGAAGGGACGCCGCUUCUGGCCUCCCAAAUGGACUGCCAUCUACACCUGCUCUUACGCUGGCUGUGAGAAGAUCUACAUCAAGAGCUCCCACCUGAAGCCGCACCUCUGGACCCACACAGGAGGGGGCCGCCCACUGGGUUGCCCAUGGCCUUCCUGCAUCCAUGGAAACCCCCUGCUUGGCACACAGAGGCGCCUCCAUCUCCAAUGCGGUAGUGUCCUGUUUGUUUGUUUCUGAAGUGGGACUUCCUGUAGCCUAAGCCCAGGGGGGAGGGUGGUUUUUGACUACGAUGACUGAACUAGUAGGUUCUGAGUUUUGGGGACAGGAGGGGGUUAGCAGAAAACCUAUAUUUGAGUUGUAUUGUGUGUUGCAAUUUUUAGCAUAUUGUUCUAUUUAUUGUAUUGAGUUUUGCUUGGUAU